GAGAAGGAGCAGGCCAGGUCUGGGACAGCCAGGCCGGCCGGCGGCAGCAACCCGCCUGUAUGUAAUGGAGAGCGCCUCUAGCCACGGGGCUGCCCAUUUGGCCUUGUUAAAUCACCCCCAGCAUAUGGUGAGAGACAUCUGCCCAGGAUUUGGACCUCACAGACUGGAAGAGGAGGGCUCUGCACAGACACUUUGAGGCUGGAGAGGGUGGAGGCAGCUGGGAAGGCGAUUCUAGGGCAAGGGCCUCACUUCUCCGAGGAGCCGGGAUUCUGAGAAAGAAGGGACUGGCUCAAGGUCAUGCAGUAGCCUACGGUUAGAUCUGUAGGGGACAAUUCAUUUCGGUUCUUUGAGCCUCUGUUUAUUUAUCUGUGAAGUGGGGUGGACAAAUAACUUACAGCCUGGAUCUGAGGGUUCGAUGAGAUCAUUUAAGGGAAUGGACCCUGCUCAGUGCAUUUUAGUUGAACGUAUUUCUCGGUGUUCAGGGUAUAAGAGUCAAAGGCAGCCACUGACAGUGUUACAUUUUCAAGAGGCUUCAGAAAAGAUCCAAUACCUUCCUAAAUCCUGCUCCUGCUGCUUAGGGUUGGAGGGAACUGGAACUGCAUUCUUCUGGCUGCUGUUUGAGUCCAAUUACAAUGCAGCCUCACUUGCAAUGGAUAAAAAUGUGAACCGUGGAAGGCUGACUUCUAGGAUUCCGAAAAAGGCAAAAUGGAGAAACUGGCCCACUCCGUGUUGCUGGAUCAAGCCAUAACUGAAGACAGUGCUACCUUUGGACUUUUUACUUGGAAAUUACAUCAAAUUGGGAUCCUCUCGCUGCUAGAGUUUGGUACACAUCAUGAAAAACUUGCCAGACGUUUCGAGAGCAGCGUCAUCUCAUUUCAAUGGCCAAAAACCUCAAAAUAAGCCAAAGAAGACUGAUAAGGCCUCAUGCUCAACCCCUUUGGAAGCUGUGUGGUGUUUUUAUUCUGCUGGGAGGGACAAGCAAAUGAAUUACCAGAUCUUAAAACCUCAGUCACUGCCUUAGGAGCCAUUAGAAGGACAGCGAGAGAGAAAACAAACACGGACUCAAGACGGUACAAAGGAAUUCGUCACAAACAGUUGAGAGGCUUUUCUGAAUUUGGGGGCACACGGGUAGAUGGUUGUGAUUUCUAAAGCAGCAGCUAGAACUGGACCCUAGUAAUUAAAAAAAAAAAAAUCUCAAAGAAUCCACCCUUGAAAAACCUGGGUAACACUAAUGGAGCCGUAUUGCCACCCCAGAUGGCCAAAUGGGGUAAACAUAUCACUUUAAUUUAAAUUUUCUGGCUAUUUGACAAUAGGCAACCUCUGGUCCUUUCCCAACCUUCAGACACUGCUGAUCUCCCCAUUGAGGACCUAUUGACUUCAGCCCAGAGCGAAUGCAUUACAACCAAGUGAUAAAUUGCUUAAAAUUAUUCUUCAAUGAAAAUGCUGGAAACCUCCGAUGUGGCUUUUUGAAUGGAGGGUGGGCAGGACAAUUUCCAAACUGUCUGGAUCAGAGAUGCUUUCUUCCAAUUGAUUCUUUCUUCAGCAGCUACGUUGCUAACCUACAGAGCCCAUGGUCCACACGGCACUGAGGGCUUACCCAAUGCAUGCUGCUAGAGAAGGGUUUUUCCCUACCACCAGUCCUUGCUCCCGGCUACCCUUCUCUCAACGACCACCCCCUCCCCCACUUCCUCCCCCUCCACGCCCCCCCCCACCAUAUAGCCAAAUCGUGCUCCCUCCCCGGAAAGCUCCUACAGCUCCAGUGACUACUACAUAAUUAACAAUAACUUGUAGUAAUGCAAUUUAAGAGUCCUUUUAAUGGGCAGCGAUGGUAGAAUGUAUAGCCCAUCUUUCUUUGUCAUCUGAGAAAAGCGGCCCCAUGCAGAGCUGCUGGUUGCUGAGUGAGGCUUUGUUGUCUGCACCAGACACAGUACCAGCUGCACUGGCAGGUAGCCGAAGUGCAAGCAGAUAGCUGCCAAACUAUGCUAUACAAAGGGAGCCGUGCCAGAGAGAAAGGGACCUUAGCAGGCGAUGACCUUUGACCCCCAAGCCAGCAUGGAUCCCAUAUUCAUCCCUUCCAGACAAUUGCAUCUUUCAUUCCACCACAAACUAUGAUUAGAAAGGGGCCAUUUGUGAUGGGGAGGGGGUCGGUUAGCUUAUAAGUUCCCAGCAAUGGGGCUAUUGCUUUUUUCUUCUAUUUUAAUGGUGACAAUAUUUUCCUUAAAACGGGGUAGGAGGAGAUGAGCAAUUAAACUAGGGAAAAUUAUAAAAGCAAAACAGUCACCCAGCCAAUGGCGUGGGGCAAGGACUCAAAGAAAGUGAAAAGCGUGGAGACAAUGACCAUAUGGCAUUUAAAAAGUCAAACGGAAAUUGAACUCUCACCUGAUCACGGGGAAGCUUCCCACAAGCGGACUGCUGGAAGGGCGCGUUUUUAGGGAAAUUGCUAACUUACUCAACACUGCUAUAUAAUACUUCUUUCAUCCCACCAGGAACGCUUUUGUUUGGUCAACUUAGAUUAAUGAGAAACGAACAGCUUGUAUUUGAAUAUGUCCUAGCAAGUCCAUUUUGUUCUUCUUUGAAAAACACCAGUGAUCUCUGGAAAAUGUCUUUUAUUUUGUGUUUUAAAGCCAUUCUACAUCAGGACUUAUGAAAAGAAGCCCAAAGCCUCAAGUGAGGACCCACCUCAAAGUCAAGGCAGCCUUUCGGUCCCUACCUCAGAGCCAUUCUGUCUGGUGGGCAGAGAAAUCAGUUGUCAGCCUUACACAGCCUGAGUGUGCCUAGGAAACGUUCUCAAAGCUGCUGGAACGUAAUGAACCGGAGUUUCAAAUUCUACGUCUUUCCAUAAAAGGAAAAAAAAGAAAAAAAAAAAGAAGCCUGUGAUGUGCAUUGGGGGGUCCACUCUGAGAGCUUUCUCAGUGGCAGAGAAGUUUCUGGAACAGGCCCCAUUUGCUCUGUCUUCCCACUGAAGGCAUGGAUCCUUGGAGGCAGGGGAAACCACUGAUACCUGUGGGCCAGCCUGAGGAGCCACACCUGACUUCAGGCUUCCACGUGAAGCCAUCUGUUCUUUAUUUUCCCUCUGUAUGAAGCUAAGGGAAUUUGCAGUUGAUUAACCUCAAACCUGGAGAAGGGAUCCAGUCUGGGAUUGCAGCCGGCAGGGCUAAGGGGACGGUGACUUGUACUUCUUAAGUGACUCAGACAGCAACAAGUUUUCUCCCACCAAAGCAGACCCCAGAGGAAUGGGUAUGCAAGGGAGAGUCCCGUGGGUCCAAACAGCCUGCAGGCAUGGAGGCAGAUUGUGGUUGGGAUCUGGGCUCCCAAAAUAAAGCGCUGGCGUCUACAUGACAAAUUAACCCGGGAACCUGAAUCUUUUUCCUUUUUUUUUUUUUUUUUAAGGUUUCAUUUAUUUACUUGUGAGAGAGAGAGACGGGGAGAGAGAGAG